rnacentral:rRNA from 1 species
AACGAACGCUGGCGGCAUGCCUAACACAUGCAAGUCGAACGAGACCUUCGGGUCUAGUGGCGCACGGGUGCGUAACGCGUGGGAACCUGCCCUUAGGUUCUGAAUAACUCCCCGAAAGGGGUGCUAAUACCGGAUAAUGUCUUCGGACCAAAGAUUUAUCGCCUUUGGAUGGGCCCGCGUUGGAUUAGCUAGUUGGUAGGGUAAAAGCCUACCAAGGCGACGAUCCAUAGCUGGUCUGAGAGGAUGAUCAGCCACACUGGGACUGAGACACGGCCCAGACAAGGGAGGGAGGAGGCGGGAGGGGAGAGGGCGGGUGGGGGAAAGGGGUGAAACGCAGGGGGAGUGGGGAGGAUGAGGGCGAGAGGGAGGGAAAGCUCUGCUACGCGGGAAGAUAGUGACAGCGACGGGGGAAUAAGCGAGGGCUAACGCCGUGACAGCCGCGGCACCAAUAGGAGGAAGAGCACCUGACCGAUC